ensembl:miRNA
UGUAAACAUCCCCGACUGGAAGCUGUGAUGUACAUGUUCUAGCUUUCAGUAGGGUGUUUGCUGC